rnacentral:lncRNA from 1 species
CAAGUAAGAUUGCUCAAUGAAUUAGUUUCGAUGUUUUUUAUGCCUUAGAUCCAAUGAUGAGAAUUCCUGUUGUUUAGCUCUCUGAACCAGUAGAAGGCCUAAAAGAAUGGUUGGAUGCUUUAGCUUCGUCGAACAUCCCUUGUGCUGUUGUUUCAAGUGUUGACCGCAGAAACAUGGUUGAGGCUUUGGAGCGAAUGGGGCUCAAGAAGUAUUUUCAGGUCACUGUUUCAUCUCUUCUCCUCUUUUGUUUGGUGUCUGUGGGAGCUGACAGUUUUCUGACUGUGUCUUUUCUAUGUUUGCCGUACAAAUACAAUUAUGAUGUCCGAUUUUCAUUAUUACUUUAUAUUAUUUGAUGUUUUGUUUGCUUGUUUCCUGUGACAUUGUGAUUAUGUUGUAAUCCGUGUUAAGUUUGUCAAAUGACUUCCGAUUCUCUAUAGACCCAGUUCCGGUUCUGUGGUAGUGGAUUGUGAAGUAUAAAUAUGACUAGUCCUCCUGUCGAAUAUGGACUUUGCUCACAGUUGUUAAAAAUGUGCCUAGCACAAAUUGCAAUGAGGGGCAUCCCAGGCACCUUUUGGCAAUGAAGAGAGAAGCUUAAACAGAGCUCAGAAAAGUGCAAAGAACCAAAAAAACACUGAUUUCAAAAAAGUGCUUUUGGAUUAUUUGUGUUGUAACUGGUGUUGAUAUUUUGGAUGCUGUAUGUAAUUUCUUUCUUAAAAAUAAAAGAAAGAAAAAAGAAAAAAAGAAAAGAAAAGGAAAUAACUAGGCUGUUCUACUGCAAAGCUGACUGUCAUCUGUUGGAGUUGCAGGCAAUUGUGUCUGAGGAAGAUGGUAUGGAGUCCAUAGCCCAUAGAUUCCUUUCAGCAGCUGUAAAGGUAUGAUUUUAUAGUGAUUGGGAGUAGUACUAAAAUAACCCAGGUUAAAUACAUGUAGAAAAUUUGCACUUAUUCUUUUAAUGCCUUUUUUCCUCCCCGGUUUACAUUGAAACACACAGAUGAUGAAUACCACAUUUUAAUCAUAACAUUUUGAUCUACUUGAGAAUUGUUUUGCAGUUGGACCGAAAACCGUCCAAGUGUGUCGUGUUUGAGGAUGACCCCAGGGGAGUAACUGCUGCUCAUAAUUGUACAAUGAUGGCUGUAGCAUUAAUUGGUGCUCAUCCAGCGUACGUAUUCGCACCUUGUGUGUGUUAUGAGCUCAGAUGUACACACUUCUGAUGACAAAAUGAAUCCAUCGUGUCAAAAAAUGUUAAUGCUUUUCAUGACAAAGGAUCAAAAUAUUUCCUCUCAUCGAACCCUGUUUUCUGUAGUGAAUAUUAAUGUCGAGUUUAACAUGCAGAUACGAUCUUGGGCAGGCUGAUCUCGCAGUUGCGAGCUUUAAUGAGCUUUCUGUAAUCAAUUUGCGGAGAUUAUUUGCUCACAAAGGUUCGAGUUUCAUGGAAUUGGAAAAGCAGAUAAUAGAGACGACUCCUUCGCGAAGAAAGCUCACUAUUGACACUAUAUUCUGAUUUUGCACCCAUCCCCAUUUUGCUCUCUCCGUCACUGUCAUUCGAUCAUUGUAAAUUUUGUAAUUUAAGGGGGUAGAUCAUCUUGUGACAUCCUCUCUUUCUCUUGGUCUGUGCAUUUUUCUUUUUCUUUUUUAUUUUUCCUUUGGUUUUAUAGUGAAAAGGCAAACAAUUUACAAUAAAAUGUAUGUGAAAUCUGCUCUGGUGGAUGAAAUCUCACAUUUAAAUAAUUCUUCACUGGAAAUACCAGUGCUUGAUUUUUAUCAAAGCUGCUUUUAAAUUUUCUCAUUUUAUAGCUUGAACAUACCUAUCAUCUCUUCAUUUUCGUACUUAUGAUCACACUUUUUUUGUCGUAUUCUUAUCUUAAAAUCUUCUGUUAAUUUUAAGCCUAAAAUUUUGUUAUUAUUCAGCUUUUUAUUAAUUAGCACAUAUUGGUCCUGGUGAAAAUUUUGUUCAAUAGAUUUUUUAUCGGGAUUUAUAAGGGAGCAAUUAUUUUGUCGUACAUUUUUAUUUAUUUUUUCUUAUUUAAAAUACAAGAGAAAAAUAAUUCUUUUACACCCUCAUGACAUAAUUUUUGGACGAAAAUUAUAAUUAGACUAGAAGUGCUAAUUUACGGAAGGUUAAGAAUAAUGAUGUAAUGAAAAAAAUUCGGGAACACAAGUAUGGCUAAUAAGUAAAGAUUAAAAAUACCCAAUGCAACUAAAAUGUGGUACACUUGUAAUAAACACGUGUCAACAUGACCAUGCAUAAAAUAGAAGUCGUUUUCGUCCGCCUGCCUCUUGGGACUGUAAUAUUAUAAGGGUGCAUUUGAUUGCAAGCAUGAAAUUUGUAUGGAAAAAAAAUAAAUUCUAGAUAAAUCAAUUGCCUAGAGCUUAUUUGUAUGUAAAUUGUCGAUUAAAUGUGUUUGAUUGAUUUAAUUUUUAACCUAGAAAAUAUUAUACUUGUCUAUUUUUUAUUGGUGGGUUAAUGAGAGAGAGAGAAUAAAUAAGAGAGAGAAAGAGAGAGUGAAUUCCGUGAAAAAUAAAAUUCUACUCUUUUUAAAAAAAAUAGUUUAAUUGAUUUUGAGGAAAAUAUGGUCACGUUAUCAAAAGUGGGAAAAUAUUUUAAUGAAAAAAAAUGACAAUUAAACGGCACAAAAGCUAUGGUAGGUGAUGUACUUGACAUCCAUAAUAGGGGCUAUAGUUGGAAUAUUACUUUUGGGAGGGGUUUACAAGAUUGGGAAUUGGAAGAUUAUUCGUUGUUUUUGAUUGCUCUGCAUGAGAUACAAAUUCGGGUAGGAGAAGGUGAUUGUAGCAGGUGGAGGUUAGCUCGAGAUGGUAUUUUUUCAGUCCGCUCAUACUUUCAAUCUCUUUUGGGAUUUGUGGAGAGUUCAUUACCUUGGAAGAUGGUGUGGCAAAGUAAAUUGCCUCCACGGGUAGCAUUUCUAUUGUGGACAGAUAUGAGGGGGCAGGUGUCAACGGUGGAUAAUCUUCGACGAAAAGGAUUUUAUGUAACCGAGUGGUGCUAUAUGUGCAAGAAGGAUGGAGAGACGAUCAAUCAUUUAUUCAUUCAUUGUGAUGGUGUGCGUUGGCUUUGGGACAGUAUUCUAGCUUCUCAAUCAAUGAAUUGGGUGCUACUUAGGCGUAUAGAAGACUUGGUGUGGGCAUGGAAAAGAAAAUUUCGCGAUAAGGAUAGCAAACUUCUAUGGAAUCUUAUCCCAAGAUGCAUUGUAUGGUGCAUAUGGAGAGAACGGAACGAUCGAUAUUUCGAAGACCAAACAAAGACAACAGAGCAGAUAAGAGAAUUAUUUUACUUGACUUUGUAUACUUGGUUUAAUGCAGUGGCUAAAAAUCCUGUUGUAGGGUUGUCUAAUUUCUUGUUGUUCCUUUCAUGCUUAAAGUGAUUGUAUACCUCCCGUGUACUCUCUUUUAAGUGGUGGAUGGAGCAAAAAUCUAUUCCUUCCCAUAUUUCUUAAUUGCUCUUUGACUGAUUCACUUUAAGCUUUGAUUUGAGCUUGUUGAGGAGCAACAUUCACAUGUUUAAGAAAUAUGAGAAUGAUUACUUGUAAUAAAUGCACGAGCUAAAAUUUUGUUAUUUGUACACCUUGGUAUUAGCUAUGCUAAAUAAAAAAAUCGUGAGCCCCCUUAUUGUAAGGGGUUGUACACUAUAUACAGAUAGCACUUCUCUACGAGCUAACGAGAAGAAAAUGCCUUUCAUAGCCUCUCUUUCGUACUUUCCUUGUUACAUUGCUUACUACCUAGGCAAUUGUUUAUAACAUCAUGUAAACAAAUAAUCAAGUUUCGAGGGUUCCAACUUAAAAACUUAGGCCAUGUUUGAGGUCAAUUACUUUGAGGAAAUGUUUCAUGGAAUAGUGAUUGAUGACGAAUGUCUAGUUAAAAAAGAAGAAUUUUUUUUUUUAUUUGAUUGUAAUAUUAUUUUAAUAAAGAAUGUUUAGUUACAAAUGAGUACUGUAAGAAAAUAAUGGGAAAGAAUAUAAAUUUAAGGAUGACAAACAGGAACUUAACAAAAGUACCAUUUUAAAUCCGACUAUAUCAAUAACUAUGCAAGCAAAAGGGAUUUCUUAACCUAGAACUAGCACCCGAAGUUUAGAGACAAUAACCAUGCAAGCAAAAGCGAUCAUCAAUCUUGAGAGAUGGACAUUUUUCAAUUAUUUCUAAUCAUUUCUGAAAAAAUUAUUUGAGCUUAACUAGGUUGACUAAUUGAAACGAGCUUUCAACUAGCAUGUUCUACGACAAAUUAGAAGAAUGUUUGGUAUGCUGUAAUGAAUAAAAUUAAGACAAAGUUUAGCCAUCUCAUCGCACAACUCGUAGAAAGUAGAAACUCCUAUCCAAUUACAUGCAUCAAUUUUAUUAUGUAAUCAGGAUAUAAAGUUCACAAGAGUAACUGCUACAUUUUGCACAACAAAUCAAUGGCUUAUCCUUCUGAAAGAGCAUGAAAAAGUAGCUGACAAUCACUUUGAUUGAAAAAUUCAAUAAAAAAUAACCUAUUCUGCUCUAGGCUUAGUAGACAGUUCUCCAGAGCGGGUAUUUGGUGGUGUUGGUUGAAGCUCCUCAAUUUCUUUCACGACUAGUGCUUUGUCAGCUUCAAAUGUUUCAUCUUCUGCAAAUUAAUUAUAGGUAUAGACUUGUAUGAGUUUCAUCUAUAAUGAUUAUACAAAAUGUGAUUAUAAGUCUCAAUAAUUUACCUUUUUCCAAGCAAAAGCCAUCAAAGAAACGGAGAAGCUUGCUUUUGUUAGCGACUAAUAUGUUGACAAUUUCAACAGGUUUGUUUUGGUUAGCCACAAAAAGCUGUAAGAACACAAAAUAAGUGAAUACUCAAAACUAACAAGAAUUUCUUCAUAAGUACUUAUCAAAUGUUAAGAUUUGAAACCUUGAACACAUGGAAAGCAGCAAUCUGGAUGUUCUUGUGUGACUCCUACAAAACAUAAUUUUAAUCGAAUUUAGAUGACUCGAAACUGCAUGAUUGAUGCAACCUGAAAUUUGUCUUCGACAUUUUAUAUUAGAAUUUUCAUCCUCAAUUAUUAUAAAGAAAUAAGCAGCUGGAUGAGGCUAGAUUAAUAUUCCACUGAUAUCUUCGAAGUAAGUGCCUCUGAAUAAAAGAACAGGUCUGAUGGAAAGUCUCUACAAGGUUGUACUUGAGUUGCAUAACCCAAGUCCAUAUAAUGUAUCUUGAAUAACCUAUUUUUAAUUGUCAGAUUUAAGAAAUUUUACGUUCUUGUACAUGUCACUGUUUCAUCUCAACUAAGAGGAAGAGAUGAAAUUUCUGGGAACUGGGUAAAAUGGCAUGGAUUUAAGAGGAAAAGAUCAUUAAUGAAAAACGGCUUGAUCUAUAGAAUUCAAGUGGUAAUUGAUUCCUUUGGUUUUAAAUGUAAGUAUCAUUUAUAAUUUAUUAAAGGGCAAUUCAACUAUUAGUUUUUGAAUAGUCGAGUGUAAGCUUUGCUGGUGCAAUGUUGCCCGUAAUAGGUCUAGUAUCAGUUUUGAGGUCAUGCUGGAUGAUUGACUCAACUAGUCUCAAGUUGAUAUAAAAUUGUCGUGGUAGGUUUUAUUUCAUUUCAAUCAACUAUAAGAAACUACUGUAUUGAUCGACUGGGAAAAGACCAACAUCUAAUAGUGCAAGUGUUUUAACAUUUCUUGACCAGCGUGCUAAUGGAAAUUACAUAAUUUAAUAUGUAAAAUAAGCAGAGUAGCAUUUUGUUGCAAUUUCAGCCUUUCUGCUUUAUACUGGAGGGUUGAUUUCCUUGUCAAACUUUUCAGGUUUUGCGCUGGGGGAAGGCACAAAAUGAUCUAGACAGACUGAAGUUGAGGUUGUCUCAGUUAUAUUAUCACAACCUUGUCCAAGUAAGAUUGCUCAAUGAAUUAGUUUCGAUGUUUUUUAUGCCUUAGAUCCAAUGAUGAGAAUUCCUGUUGUUUAGCUCUCUGAACCAGUAGAAGACCUAAAAGAAUGGUUGGAUGCUUUAGCUUCGUCGAACAUCCCUUGUGCUGUUGUUUCAAGUGUUGACCGCAGAAACAUGGUUGAGGCUUUGGAGCGAAUGGGGCUCAAGAAGUAUUUUCAGGUCACUGUUUCAUCUCUUCUCCUCUUUUGUUUGGUGUCUGUGGGAGCUGACAGUUUUCUGACUGUGUCUUUUCUAUGUUUGCCGUACAAAUACAAUUAUGAUGUCCGAUUUUCAUUAUUACUUUAUAUUAUUUGAUGUUUUGUUUGCUUGUUUCCUGUGACAUUGUGAUUAUGUUGUAAUCCGUGUUAAGUUUGUCAAAUGACUUCCGAUUCUCUAUAGACCCAGUUCCGGUUCUGUGGUAGUGGAUUGUGAAGUAUAAAUAUGACUAGUCCUCCUGUCGAAUAUGGACUUUGCUCACAGUUGUUAAAAAUGUGCCUAGCACAAAUUGCAAUGAGGGGCAUCCCAGGCACCUUUUGGCAAUGAAGAGAGAAGCUUAAACAGAGCUCAGAAAAGUGCAAAGAACCAAAAAAACACUGAUUUCAAAAAAGUGCUUUUGGAUUAUUUGUGUUGUAACUGGUGUUGAUAUUUUGGAUGCUGUAUGUAAUUUCUUUCUUAAAAAUAAAAGAAAGAAAAAAGAAAAAAAGAAAAGAAAAGGAAAUAACUAGGCUGUUCUACUGCAAAG